UACGGGAGGCAGCAGUGGGGAAUAUUGCACAAUGGGCGAAAGCCUGAUGCAGCUAUGCCGCGUGUAUGAAGAAGGCCUUAGGGUUGUAAAGUACUUUCAUCGGGGAGGAAAAACAAAACUAAUAAUUUUAUUUCUUGACGUUACCCGAAAAAGAAGCACCGGCUAACUCCGUGCCAGCAGCCGCGGUAAUACGGAGGGUGCUAGCGUUAAUCAGAAUUACUGGGCGUAAAGAGCACGUAGGUGGUUUUUUUAAAGUCAGAUGUGAAAUCCCUGGACUUAACCUAGGAACUGCAUUUUGAAACUGAAAUACUAGAGUAUCGUAGAGGGAGGUAGAAUUCUAGGUGUAGCGGUGAAAUGCGUAGAUAUCUGGAGGAAUACCUGUGGCGAAAGCGGCCUCCUAAACGAAUACUGACACUGAGGUGCGAAAGCGUGGGGAGCAAACAGGGAUUAGAUACC
rnacentral:rRNA from 1 species